rnacentral:piRNA from 1 species
UAGGUUCUGAUGGAGCAUUGUUAGCAGGC